rnacentral:rRNA from 1 species
UUGGAGGGCAAGUCUGGUGCCAGCAGCCGCGGUAAUUCCAGCUCCAAUAGCGUAUAUUAAAGUUGUUGCAGUUAAAAAGCUCGUAGUUGAAUUUCGGGAUCAAUAUGCCGGUCAUGCCUUGGUAUGUACUGGUAUCUUUGAUUUCUCCCUUCUGACGAACUUUGAUGUCAUUAAUUUGGUGUCAUAGGGAAUCAGGACUGUUACUUUGAAAAAAUUAGAGUGUUUAAAGCAGGCUCACGCUUGAAUACAUUAGCAUGGAAUAAUGAAAUAGGACGUUUGAUUCUAUUUUGUUGGUUUCUAGGAUCGACGUAAUGAUUAAUAGGGAUAGUUGGGGGCAUUAGUAUUCAAUUGUCAGAGGUGAAAUUCUUGGAUUUAUCGAAGACUAACUACUGCGAAAGCAUUUGCCAAGGAUGUUUUCAUUAAUCAAGAACGAAAGUUAGGAGAUCGAAGACGAUCAGAUACCGUCGUAGUCUUAACCAUAAACUAUGCCGACUAGGGAUCGGAUGAUGUUAAUUUUUUAAUGACUCAUUCGGCGCCUUACGGGAAAC